rnacentral:lncRNA from 1 species
UUGUCUAGGCAUUGAACUGAUUCUGCACUUUCUCGAGGUAUUCUCUUGCUUGGGGAUUGCACUAAUGAAGUGCAUCACUUCCUCUGAAAUAAUAAUGAGAAGAUGGUGAGAACACCAACAUUUAAAACUUGGUAGAAUAAUUGAAUAUCUUAAUUUAACGUUGGUCAAAAUUAAGAUAUACAAAAAUUAACUCGCUGCAUGAAAUCUAAUCACCGUUGGGCAAAAUAGAAUAAAUGCUUAAAAUUGGAACUUGGCAUUUGCAAUAUUGCUAUUUUUAACGUUGGUCAAAAAAUAACAAUAUUACAAAAAAGAUUUCUGGGCUUCAAACCUUGCUUCUGGAAUUAAAUAUCCCGUUGGUUCAAUUUAAUAAGAGAACUAAAAUGUCUUGCGCAGCGGAAAACGUAAAUUAACUUGCUAGAAUCGUAACUUGCUGUAACUUGGAAUUUGCAAUAUUGUUAUUAUUGACGUUGGUCAAAAAUUAACAAUAUUACAAAGAAUUCUGCGCUUGAAAACUCGGCUUCUCAAAUUAAAUAUCCCGUUGGUUCAAUUUAAUAUGAGAAUUAAAACUAUAACUUGCGCAGCGGAAAAACAUUAAUUUACUUGCUAUUUUCAGAAGCAUAACUUGCUGACUGUGCUUUCUAAUUAAUAUACACGUUGGUGCAAAUUAAAUAGAAUUC